GACGUAGGGCGCGAGCGUUGUCCGGAUUUAUUGGGCGUAAAGAGCUCGUAGGCGGUUUGUCGCGUCUGCCGUGAAAGUCCGGGGCUCAACUCCGGAUCUGCGGUGGGUACGGGCAGACUAGAGUGAUGUAGGGGAGACUGGAAUUCCUGGUGUAGCGGUGAAAUGCGCAGAUAUCAGGAGGAACACCGAUGGCGAAGGCAGCUCGCUAAACUGUAACUGACGCUGAGGCACGAAAGCGUGGGGAUCAAACAGG
rnacentral:rRNA from 1 species